CUCAGUUUUCUCUCUGCUCUCUCCCUGUCCUCUCUGAUGUUCUGCCAGGCUCUAACCGCCUCCUUCUUCUCCUUCUCUUUCUCUCUCAGCUCCUGCUGUGUGUCUCUGAGUUGAGCGGUUAGAGAGGACACCGUCUGGCUGUGACUCUCCUGCUGAGUCUGAGGAUGGGGAAAAAAACAGGGAGAAGGAGAAGUUGAAAAGGGCUGUGGUGAGUUUGGUGACUUCGUUGCACAAGGUGGCGCUGUCUCCCUCCCUCUCCACCAACCAGGCUGCCAGCUGAGGCCCGCCUCCUGUCAACCCCUGACCAAUCACAGAGCAGAGAGACAGGACAUUAGAUGAGUAAUGUUACCCUCUAAUUACAGAGAACAGUAUUUACAGUGAAAAGGACUGAGGUUUGCAGAACAGAGAAAAAACAAAACUGAAACUUUAUUUUAGAAGUGAAAGAAGAUUAAAAUAUAGUUCAUUCUAGAAAUUAAGUCAUACUGUGGCAAUUUUAAAGUUCUGUAGCAAAGAUGACUACCUAUAACUAUAGCAGAGUGUGCAGUAUCUUAACAUAAAAUGAGAGAUCUAACAGUACUCCCAUAAUUAAUCUAGUUUUAAUGUUCAAAAAGGGAUGUCAAAAAUGCAGGACAGCCCAUCAGCGCUCUUUGUCUAAUAAAACAUGAUAAUAGUGUAGGCAGGUUAGUAUCAUGUUUUAUUUUCUGAGCAGUGUUUGACAGUAAAGUGAACUCUACUCUG